rnacentral:rRNA from 1 species
CUCGCUGUGAAGAUGCAGUGUACCCGCGGCAAGACGGAAAGACCCCGUGAACCUUUACUAUAGCUUGACACUGAACAUUGAGCCUUGAUGUGUAGGAUAGGUGGGAGGCUUUGAAGUGUGGACGCCAGUCUGCAUGGAGCCGACCUUGAAAUACCACCCUUUAAUGUUUGAUGUUCUAACGUGGGCCCCUUACCGGGGUUGCGGACAGUGUCUGGUGGGUAGUUUGACUGGGGCGGUCUCCUCCUAAAGAGUAACGGAGGAGCACGAAGGUUGGCUAAUCCUGGUCGGACAUCAGGAGGUUAGUGCAAUGGCAUAAGCCAGCUUGACUGCGAGCGUGACGGCGCGAGCAGGUGCGAAAGCAGGUCAUAGUGAUCCGGUGGUUCUGAAUGGAAGGGCCAUCGCUCAACGGAUAAAAGGUACUCCGGGGAUAACAGGCUGAUACCGCCCAAGAGUUCAUAUCGACGGCGGUGUUUGGCACCUCGAUGUCGGCUCAUCACAUCCUGGGGCUGAAGUAGGUCCCAAGGGUAUGGCUGUUCGCCAUUUAAAGUGGUACGCGAGCUGGGUUUAGAACGUCGUGAGACAGUUCGGUCCCUAUCUGCCGUGGGCGCUGGAGAACUGAGGGGGGCUGCUCCUAGUACGAGAGGACCGGAGUGGACGCAUCACUGGUGUUCGGGUUGUCAUGCCAAUGGCACUGCCCGGUAGCUAAAUGCGGAAGAGAUAAGUGCUGAAAGCAUCUAAGCACGAAACUUGCCCCGAGAUGAGUUCUCCCUGACUCCUUGAGAGUCCUGAAGGAACGUUGAAGACGACGACGUUGAUAGGCCGGGUGUGUAAGCGCAGCGAUGCGUUGAGCUAACCGGUACUAAUGAACCGUGAGGCUUAACCUUACAACGCCGAAG